ACCUACGGGGGGCAGCAGUGGGGGAUAUUGCACAAUGGGGGGAACCCUGAUGCAGCGACGCCGCGUGGGUGUAGGAGCGUUUCGGCGCGUAAAGCCCUAUCGGCAGGGAAGAAGGAGGACGGUACCUGACUAAGAAGCCCCGGCUAACUACGUGCCAGCAGCCGCGGUAAUACGUAGGGGGCAAGGGUUAUCCGGAAUUAAUGGGGGUAAAGGGGGCGCAGACGGCAGGGCAA
rnacentral:rRNA from 1 species